rnacentral:rRNA from 1 species
CGACCGGCGCACGGGUGAGUAACGCGUAUGCAACUUACCUAUCAGAGGGGGAUAGCCCGGCGAAGGUCGGAUUAAUACCCCAUAAAACAGGGGUCCCGCAUGGGAAUAUUUGUUAAAGAUUCAUCGCUGAUAGAUAGGCAUGCGUUUCAUUAGGCAGUUGGCGGGGUAACGGCCCACCAAACCGACGAUGGAUAGGGGUUCUGAGAGGAAGGUCCCCCACAUUGGUACUGAGACACGGACCAA